CGGAUAGACAGGUGAGCAGGUGCAUGGGGACUGCUGCCAGACACUGGGGCAAGCUGGCAGAGGCGGGGCGGGUAGUGGCUUCCUUGUGGUUUUUCCCUUGAGGGCGGAUUCUCCCUGUGGGGAAGGACACAGUGUGCAUGUCUUGCCUUCGCUGCCACCUCCUCCUUCUCUCAAUAUCCUCUUGCUGGGAGGAGGUUCCUCAUCUCCGUUGUUGCAUCCAGCUGCUGCUACUGCCAGUGCCACGUGCCUUGUAAGCCAUGAAAGAGGCUGACACCUGCACACUCAGGCACGACUUAAAAUAGAACUUGUCAAACAGUGAUCCACUCUGGAUCAAGCUCGGAACAACAAACAGCUCUUGAACUCACCUCCCAGCCUAAAAAGACUGCAGUGUGUGACACUUGGGGUAGUUUGGUGGGAACGACAAAAUCCUGACGAUCCUCAGCCCUAUCCUUCUCAUCUCCCCUACUGAAGUUCUUGCCUGUGGAAGUGCUGUUUUCAUGAAUACAUUCAUGUUCCCACCCAGAUGAAAGUGACCUAAGGCCAGGUGCGGUGGCUUACGCCUGUAAUCCCAGCAGUUUUGGAGUCCGAGGUGGGCGGAUCACGAGGUCCGGAGAUCGAGACCAUCCUGGCUAGCACGGUGAAACCCCAUCUCUACUAAAAGAUACAAAAAAUGAAAAACAAAAAGUUAGCAGGGCGUGGUGGCCGGCGCCUGUAGUCCCAGCUACUUGGGAGGCUGAGGCAGGAGAAUGGCACAAACCCGGGAGGCGGAGCUUGCAGUGAGCCGAGAUCGCGUCCCUGCACUCCAGCCUGGGCAACAAAGCAAGACUCCGUCUCAAAAAAAAAGAAAAAAAAGUGAUCUAAAACACUGUACCCAAUUCCACUUUAAAAAAAAUAUUUUUCUUUCAGAUAGCAUAGGUUGACAAAUUUUCACUUAGUUUCCCUCUUCUCUGCCUCCUUUGCCAAGAGUAAGAAAUUCAUGUUAAUAUAUGUAGUCAACUACACAACUCCUUCAGUGAAAUUCAAAAAGAAAGAAAAACUAUAUAUAAAAUGUUUUCAUACUAACAAACAUUGAGUAGUAAAUUUCUUUUAGUUUUGUGCAGAUAUCUAUUUUACCAUAGUUGCCAUUGUGGUUGGUAUACAUAGGCUAGAGAAAGAAAAGUAUGUUAAAGAAAGGAGUUUAUUUAAUUUUUACUGGCUGCUUAAUUGUUUAAAAUUGUAGCUGUCACACACUGAUUAUCUCUUACCUGCCACACACUUUUACAUGUGUUAUUUCUAAAUCCUUACCAUAGUCCUUCAAGUAAGUUAUUAUCCCCAUACUAGGACACUGGUCUAAAGAGAGGUUCAGUCAAUUGUGUGAAGUCACACUUAAGGAAGUGACACAAUUAGGAUUUGAUCCUAGUUGUGACUGGCUGAAGCCACAGCUCUACUCCUAUCCCACACUGCCUAUACUGGGACCCAGACCAAAGCCAUUACUAAUUUCUACCAAAGUGACCAGACAAAAGAUACUAAUGAGACCAGGAAAGGUCAUAUAAAAUUAACAUCAUCAUGUUUUUGUAUGUAUAUUUGAAAGCGCCCCACCAAGAAAUGAUAUCUGGAGCCAAUCUGGUCUUAUAUCUCUUAUCUAUGCCUAGAAAUGUUCAGAAAAUGCUAUUAGCCUUUCUAUUUCCUGGAAAUCAUUUUAAUCC